rnacentral:rRNA from 1 species
ACGCUCGACACCUACGGGAGGAAGCAGUGGGGAAGUAUUGCACAAUGGGGGAAACCCGUCGAUGCAGCGACGCCGCGUGAGCGAAGAAGUAUUUCGGUAUGUAAAGCUCUAUCAGCAGGGAAGAAACUGACGGUACCUGACUAAGAAGCACCGGCUAAAUACGUGCCACAGCCGCGGUAAUCUGAGCGGGCUGGCAAGGC